rfam:Danio rerio chromosome 4, GRCz11 reference primary assembly.
GCAUUGGUGGUUCAGUGGUAGAAUUCUUGCCUGCCACGCGGUAGACCCGGGUCCAAUUCCCGGCCAAUGCA